rnacentral:lncRNA from 1 species
UAUAUAGUACUUUCCCUCUAGAUCAAGAUGAAGUCAUUGUCAAAUUGACUUUCAAUUUUUAGGUCAGAUUCUUCAAUUGUAAUCAUGCAUGGGCAUGAUGAUGUUUAGCAAUUAACGAUGUUGAUGAUCAUUAUAUGCUUUUAUAAUUUGAAUGAGAAAUUGUUUUAUAAUCAAGCUAAUAUUAUUGUGCCCCUUCUUGAUUGUACUAAUAACCAUAUUUUAACCACCCCCUCCC